CCUACGGGUGGCAGCAGUGGGGAAUAUUGCACAAUGGGGGAAACCCUGAUGCAGCAACGCCGCGUGAGUGAAGAAGUAUUUCGGGAUGUAAAGCUCUAACAGCAGGGAAGAAAAAGACAGUACCUGAGUAAGAAGCCCCGGCCAACUACGUGCCAGCAGCCGCGGUAAUACGUAGGGGGCAAGCGUUAUCCGGAUUUACUGGGUGUAAAGGGAGCGUAGACGGCUGCGCAAGUCAGAAGUGAAAGCCCGGGGCUCAACCGCGGGACUGCUUUUGAAACUGUGUAGCUAGAGUGCAGGAGAGGUAAGUGGAAUUCCUCGUGUAGCGGUGCAAUGCGUAGAUCUUAGGAGGAACACCGGUGGCGAAGGCGGCUUACUGGACUGUAACUGACGUUGCGGCUCGAAAGCGUGGGGAGCAAACAGGAUUAGAUACCCCUGUAGUC
rnacentral:rRNA from 1 species